GGCCGCGGGAAUUCCAUUCAGGCCUAACACAUGCAAGUCGUACGCAAUUGAUCCCCCUAGUGCUUGCACACACCGGAUCGUUGAGUGGCGCACGGGUGAGUAACACGUGGGUAACCUGCCCACCAGAGGGGGAUAACAGUCGGAAACGAUUGCUAAUACCGCAUAGGUUGAACGACCGCAUGGUCGCUCAAGGAAAGACGGCUUUGGCUGUCGCUGGUGGAUGGACCCGCGGCGUAUUAGUUAGUUGGUGAGGUAACGGCUCACCAAGACAAUGAUACGUAGCCGACCUGAGAGGGUGAUCGGCCACAUUGGGACUGAGACACGGCCCAAACUCCUACGGGAGGCAGCAGUAGGGAAUCUUCCGCAAUGGACGAAAGUCUGACGGAGCAACGCCGCGUGAGUGAAGAAGGUUUUCGGAUCGUAAAACUCUGUUGUUAGAGAAGAACAUGUCUGAGAGUAACUGUUCAGGCAAUGACGGUAUCUAACCAGAAAGCCACGGCUAACUACGUGCCAGCAGCCGCGGUAAUACGUAGGUGGCAAGCGUUGUCCGGAUUUAUUGGGCGUAAAGCGAGCGCAGGCGGUUUCUUAAGUCUGAUGUGAAAGCCCACGGCUUAACCGUGGAGGGUCAUUGGAAACUGGGAAACUUGAGUGCAGAAUAGGAGAGUGGAAUUCCAUGUGUAG
rnacentral:rRNA from 1 species